ensembl:lncRNA
AGCGAGCCCGCACUCCUCAAACCAAACCGCAGCAGAACCAAGCCGAGCCGAACUACACCGAUCUGCACUUAAGCUCUGUCGCCCCUCUCAGAGGCAGAAGAGGCGGAAUGAUGACCUCUUAGCGCAUCUUUUACGCACUCGACCGGCCGUCCGUCCCUCAUAAAUCCACAUUCUGCCUCUUUACGUUUAAUUCGCACGCCGACACCAUGGACGCGGCAGUUAUAAGGACCGAUGUUAUCAUCUCACAGCUGCUCCUAUUUAGCCAAAUAGUUGUGGCAGCUGAACCACUGGUCCAUGGCCUGCGGAAACUCCCUGAAGAUAUGGACUGGUCGUACUCAGGAACCCUGAACCAGCGUAAGUGGGGUAAGAAGUAUCCAUCCUGUAACAGUGCCAGACAGUCUCCUGUGGACAUCGACGAGAUGUUUACUCAGGUCAGGCUGCAGUACCAAAACCUGCAGCUAGAGGGCUUUAACAAGCUGAUAGCGGAG